rnacentral:rRNA from 1 species
UACGAAGGGGGCUAGCGUUGCUCGGAAUUACUGGGCGUAAAGCGCACGUAGGCGGCUUCUUAAGUCGGUGGUGAAAUCCUGGAGCUCAACCCCAGAACUGCCUUCGAUACUGGGAAGCUCGAGUCCGGGAGAGGUGAGUGGAACUGCGAGUGUAGAGGUGAAAUUCGUAGAUAUUCGCAAGAACACCAGUGGCGAAGGCGGCUCACUGGCCCGGUACUGACGCUGAGGUGCGAAAGCGUGGGGAGCAAACAGG